GGAAUUAAAUGUUCAGCAUCCGUAUUGUAUGCACUGCGCAGCUCACAAGAUGACGUCAUCAGUUGAAAAUUCCUGAUCUAGACGACUGUGGAGCUGACGCUCGUCUAUUUUACCAUCCAAGUCCUUCACUAAUGUUGGCAUUUUGAAUCUUGGAGCUUUUGAUCAACAAUGGAGGGAGUCAGCAACUACACACCAAAAAGAAUGCGGAUGGAUUGCAAGGUCUAUGUGGGCAACCUUGGCAACAACGCCGCAAAGCACGAAUUGGAGUCAGCGUUCACCAAAUAUGGUCCUUUAGUGAAUGUUUGGGUGGCACGUAAUCCUCCUGGAUUUGCAUUUGUGGAAUUUGAAGACCCAAGGGAUGCUGAAGAUGCUGUACGGGCCCUUGAUGGAACGCGACUGUGUGGUGUUCGUGUGAGAGUGGAGAUGUCCACCGGCCGCUCACGCCGUGACCGUUACCGUUCUCCUUCAAGACGAGGUGGAAGCAGGCGAUCCAGGACUAUCUCGCCCAAAUUACUUCUUGUUCCACCACCACCAUCUACUCCUCCUACUGUUGCUACCACACCACCACCACCAACUCCACCACAACCACCACCACCACCACCACAAGUACUUCCACCACCACCACCACCACCACCACCACUGCUAGCAUCAGCCUGCUUGUACAGUGGGCUUCCAGUAUUGGGUUGUAGGGGAGGUUGGAGCUCCCUGUGGGGGCUCCUUCCACUCAUCACCUGAUCCUACACUGGUGAUGCAACUUGAUGACAUAAAGUGAGUCAAAUGACACUCUUGGGUAGUGAAGCAUGUUCUCCUUCAUAGUGUUCAUGCUUUACUGUCAGUGGGUGGUAGAGUUUACCAGUGUUGGAUAAGGUGUUGGGCCCUGAUCAGCCAAGGCAUGGCGGCGGUGGUGGUGAGCGGCACGUUGCCUGAUGGCCCUCCUACGGCGCGGCACCUCGCGGCACCCGGGCAGCCCUUAUGCGCUUCACGUGUCCUCUUCUCCCCGCCCGUCUACGUCUACCCUCCGCCCACUGCCCGCCCAUCGCCCGCCCGCUGCCUGCGCACCGUCAGGCCUGCCCCCCCACCCACCAUCUUGGGUCUCUGACCCUCCAACGCUCGCUCCACUUUCUUACAUUCAUCGCGCCUCGUCUCAUCAUAACGACUACCCUGCUGUGACGGUCCCGCACUCCCAGAAGGUUUGGCCGUUCUCGUUCCAGGUCACCAAGACGCUCACGGUCCCGCUCCCCCAGGUCUGUUUCACGAUCACCAAGAUACAAGUGAAGAUGAAGACAGUAGCUUGCCUUCAGAAAGACUUGGGAAUUUAUACGUAGAAGUUGCUGUGUUGGAGGAGCUCAUGAAGAAGCUACCUGUGACGGAACAUAUUUUCUCACCAUGCCUAGCUAUGAGAAACUUUAUGAUCACUCUUCAAGAUUGACAAUAAUUUGUUGUCAAUUUACAGUUAUCAUAAAACCUAAUUUCAUUUUAUAAAUGUAUAUUUCUUUGUUUAUCAUUCAACACUUGACUUUUUAAUAAAGGUCACUUGGAUCCUUAGUAUUGUGAAUGUCAUUUACACACAUUGUACUAACUUCUAGUUCAUUCAGUUCCAUCUUAAGACUUAAGUAGGGUUCAUAUUACUUUGCAUUUUACGGUUAUCCAGUUUUUAUAAGGUGAGAAUGGAUGAAUGAUAAUAGUAUGUCAUACCUUUCAAUUACAAUUCCUUAAAGAUAAUAAUUAUAACAUUUGUAAGCUUGUAAGUACAAAUUAAAAUGAAAGGUAUGGAUUGUUUUUCAUAAGUUUUGUGAACAAUGAAGUUCCACAAUUCUUACUCUUGUUUUAUUACAAACUCAGGUGUGAGUGCUGAGUAGAUAUUUUUUAUGUGUAGUGACUGAAUGGAGGUGUGCUGUAUUUGAAAAUUACAAAUAUUAAUUAUAUAAAUUUUUUACAUCAAACCUUAUGUAAAAACCCUACAUUAACAAAGAAAUUGCAUGUCCAUACAACAGCUAUAUCUACUACAAUUAUAGGCAGCGUGUUAACGGUUAUAGUACAGUAUUUUUUAAAUCUUCUGGAGGGUUUACACAAUCACAGAGGUCUAUUAAAAUGAUUUUUAUUUAUUUAAAAAUAAUUUUUAUUUAAAACCCAUGUGGGUUAACCUUUUAUUUUAAAUCCAUCUUCAGUACUGAAGUGGAAGAGAACCUUGCCAAUGAAUAUGUUGUAUAACCUGAGGCAAAAUAACUGUAGAGAUUAAUUACUUGUACAGUAGUACUGUUUAUGUGAAAAGAAAAAUUAAAUUAAAACCUGGCUCUUCGGAAGGUCCAAACUUUGCAGUGAGCCUUAGUGGCCAAGCACUAGUGAUGACAAAACUUCUUGCUUGGGGACAGUUUACUGUAUAUUCAACACUGUUUAGAACCUUGGAGUUAUUAUGGAUAAAGAUAUAAAGUGCAAAUGGUGAUGCCAAUGAUUUGCAUUGGAAAUAACUACAAGAUUGCCAAAGAACAUAAAAAUAUUAAAUAAUUAUAUUUAGAGGGGUAUAUGAAGUUUCAGGCUCUGAAUAUUUAGAAUGGAAUAUGUUUUAACUGUACCAAGAGAAACUAUGGUAUAGACAAAGUUUUAAAAUGUAUAUUUUACAUAGAAAACAGACGAAUGAGCAAGACAAGUGAAAGUAUGUUGUGUGCUUUGUGCAGUGACAUAAAGAAACGAGAUGAUUGCUGAAGCCAGCAACUAGUAGAAAAAUUUAGAGGUUAGAUUGCAGAUAUCCAUAUAUUGUACACCUUUUUCAUGUUAGGAAAGAUAUUCAUGCAUAAACAUUAAAUUUUCAAUAAAAAUUUAAUUUUG